CACACUAUCAUUAACUGAAUCCAUAGGUUAAUGAGGCGAACCGGGGGAACUGAAACAUCUAAGUACCCCGAGGAAAAGAAAUCAACCGAGAUUCCCCCAGUAGCGGCGAGCGAACGGGGAGCAGCCCAGAGCCUGAAUCAGUGUGUGUGUUAGUGGAAGCGUCUGGAAAGGCGCGCGAUACAGGGUGACAGCCCCGUACACAAAAAUGCACAUGCUGUGAGCUCGAUGAGUAGGGCGGGACACGUGGUAUCCUGUCUGAAUAUGGGGGGACCAUCCUCCAAGGCUAAAUACUCCUGACUGACCGAUAGUGAACCAGUACCGUGAGGGAAAGGCGAAAAGAACCCCGGCGAGGGGAGUGAAAAAGAACCUGAAACCGUGUACGUACAAGCAGUGGGAGCAUGCUUAGGCGUGUGACUGCGUACCUUUUGUAUAAUGGGUCAGCGACUUAUAUUCUGUAGCAAGGUUAACCGAAUAGGG
rnacentral:rRNA from 1 species